rnacentral:sRNA from 1 species
CUUACCAUGAAUUGCCAGGGCUGAGAGAGAUGGAGAAGGAUUCGCGGCGGUGACAGAUUAAAUUCCACAGUUACAUUAUAGACUUGGAAGUGGGGGAUCUUCUCAUCGUUAGAGGCCCCGAUCAUGGGAGAUAGGCGGUUCGGAGCCAGUCCUGCCUAACUUUGUGUUCACUGAUGUUAGGGCUGCUAGGGCUGCAAAGGUGGGCACCCCUACUCGUCUAAGAGCUUUCUCCUCUCUUCUCUUUUUCCCCUUUGCCUCUCUCCUUACAUCACCUGCCCACUAAGUAGACUUGUCCUUGUGUGAACGGGAGCCGGAAAGCCUUGAGAACUUAUUCCUCGACCCGGACAUGGCACAUGAGAAAAUGAAACUAGGUUUCAAGUCGCUGCCGAGUUCCACUACCGCAGACGGCAACAUUCUGAGAAGAGUCAACAGUGCCCCUUUGAUCAAUGGACUUGGUUUUAAUUCACAGGUGUUGCAAGCUGACAUGUUAAGAAUUAGGACAAACAGAACAACGUUUAGGAAUCGACGCUCUCUGUUGUUGCCACCUCCUCCCUUUCAUGGUUCCAUCAGCCGCCUUCAUCAAAUCAAACAGGAAGAAGCCAUGGAUUUAAUAAAUAGAGAAACAAUGUCUGAAUGGAAGCUACAAAGUGAGAUACAGAUAAGUCACUCUUGGGAAGAAGGCUUGAAACUGGUGAAAUGGCAUUUCAAUAUCAACCAAAAAAGAUUUUCCAAGGCACAACCAACAUGCUUUCUUCUGAUACUUCCCAACUGUCAGAAAAUAAU